AUUUUUGAGAAAGGAUCUCACUGUGUAGCCCAAGCUGCCCUCAAACUCCAGAUCUUCAACCUCUGUCUCUUCAGUAUUAGGAUUACAAGCAUGAACCGCCACACCCAGCCUCUGUUUAUAAUUUUCAGCUGUGGCUGUACACAGGAAUCACCUGGGGAGCUUUUAGAGCAUCAGUGCCUGGCUCUCACUUCUAGAUUGAUUCUAAUGGUUGUUUUUAAUAGGAAGAAGUUGGAACCUGUUUAUAGGCUGUGUGUAAAGAAAAAAUAGGACCCACCAGAUACAUACACAUAAAUCGCAUUUGGCUAAGGAAAACACUCCACAGGCUGAAAUGUGUGGAAAGGAAGUCAAUCAAUAGGUUGGAAAAAAAUUGGGAGAGUUUUCAUAAACAAGUCCAUUUUCCCAUCAGUCAGAAGAUAAGGCAUUCGCUGGGCAUGAUGGUAAGGAUGAGAAAUUUCAGGAAGUGGUAAAAGUCUGGUACAACCGAUGGCAGUCAGUCAGGUUUCGUGGGCAGACAUGAUGGCCCCACCAAGUGCAGGCCAUGAAGAAUGGUGUUCCACAUCAGCGCUCAGGGUUGCUGUUUGCUUGCUUACUUUUUGAUUUGGUUGUUUUCCUUUUUAAAAAAACAAUUUCUUAUUUGUGUGUAUGUAUAUAUACACUGGUUCAUGUUGGGGGUGUUUGUAUGUGUAUGUGUAUAAGGUGAUGUCACAUCUAUCUUUUACAUGGGUACUGGGGAACAAAAUCAAACUUUCAUGUUUGAGCAGCAAGCACUUUACCAACUAAGCCAUUGUCCCAGCACUGCCCUCCCUACUCCACUUCUGUUUAAAAGGCAGAGUAUCACUUUAUAGCCCAGGCUGGCCUGGAAUUCCAUAACCUCCUGCCCCAGCCUCCUGAGUGCUGAGAUUACAGAUGUAUAUCGGCAUUGUAAGCUCCCAGCAGAAUGUAGGAGGUGGGAGACUGGGUAUCAGAAAUGGGACAGGUUGGUAUCUGCAAGGAAGCUAUGUGGAAGGCCUUGGAGGUGAGAGCUCAGGAAAGGUUUUGUAGAAGGCAAAAAACCACUCCAGAGCAGGCUGACAAACUGGAGAAACUAAACCCACAAGCUUGCUAAGAAUGCAGGCUCAGUAGAAUGGGGAAAGAACAGCCAGACAAAAACUAAAAUUCCUUUUCCUUCAUGGAGCCUUCCUGACUCACGGGAAGUGAGGUGACAACUUCCUGAGUCCCACCCUGACUGACUCACUCCUCACUCACUGAGUCUGGAGGGCCUUCUCUUUCCCCAGAAGAUAAAUCUGUGAUGUUGUUUCUCCGGUGGUUCAGCCUGAAAACCACCACCUAUAUGAACUUUACCAACUCUGAUACCUGAUUGAGCCAGCUAGCUGGUAUCCUUUGAAGGAGGCUGGGACCAUGGCUGAAAGAACAUCUGGAUGACAGAAGGGAGAAACCGCAUGCAAACACUCAUCUAUCAACUACAAUUUACUUGUUUGCCUAGGGGUGCCCCUGAAGAUUUCUGUGUGGAAGGCUGACACAACCCCUUUUAUACUUCAAAAGACAAACUGGCAACAGUAAGUGUAUUAGCAAAAGGAAAGCAGGAGGAGGAGAGCAGCUGGGAACCCACUCAGAGGCACAGGUGUGACACAGACCUGACCUACAUCUGUGGUGGAGAGAACAGAGAGAACUCAGGAUUGACUGACACAAGGCUGGCAAGGCUGGUAACACAGGUAGAAUGGAGAAUAGGAAUACACUCUAAGACACCCCAAGUUUGAGGUGAGAUGACACAUUUAGCCUCCCAUACUCCACACCCUCCCAAUCCAAGUUCCUAAUAGCACUGAACUCAGCAAACCCAGAGUUCAUCCAUGAGAGGAGGUUUAACAACACAGUGGAGAAAUGCAGAGGCAGAGAUCAGACUUUGAGGUCCUGAGUCCAUCUUAAAACCAUACAUACAGUUGGAAGUACAGUUGAGUCUCCUUUCUUUUCGUAUGUGUGCAGUAUAUACAUGUGUACAGGUGCAUAUGCUCAUGUGUGCAUGUGUGGAGGCCAGAGGUCAAUGCCUGGGGUCUUCAUUUAUUGUUCUCAACACUAUCAUAUUAUUAUUGGUCUUUUUGAGACAGGGUGUCCUUGUAGCCCCAGCUGGCCUGGGACUAUGUAGACCAGACUGGCCUCAAUCUCACAGAGAUCUACCUGCCUCUGCCUCCUGAGUGCUAGGAUUAAAGGUAUAGGCCACCACACCUGGCUACUACCUUAGUUUUUGAGAUGGGGUCUCUCACUGAACCUGGAGCUCACCAACAGGCUAGACUGGUUGACCAGAAAGCUCCAGGGUUCCUCUGGUUUUCACCUCCCAGCCUUGGUAUUAUAGACACCACACUGUGCCAUGUUUUUUGUUUGUUUGUUUGUUUGUUUUAAGCUUGAGUAAUUUUUAUUCAGGGGUGCCAUGUAUACCAAUUUAAAACAUAGACAAGUUUUGAGGGUAUCUGAGUGUACUGGAUAGCUUUAGUUUCAACUUGACACACCUGGGUUGAGGGAGCCUCAAUUGGGGAAUUGCCUCUAUUGGACUGGCCUGUGGCCAUGUCUGAGGGGCAUCUUCUUGAUGAGUGUGU